UUUAUUUUUAAAAUCUAAAAAAAUUAUAUAUAAAAUUAUGGUUAAUUAAAAAUUUUAUUUUUUUAAAAAUUUAGUA
rnacentral:tRNA from 1 species